CCCCUCCCCCACUUUUCUUCGUCUCAUUCACUAUAACCUAAAACCAUAGCCGCCCUAAUUCUCCAUCCCCUCCCACCAACCGCCGCCCACCGGAAAUUGCCUCACGGUGGCGGCGAUGCUCCAAACUCUCCCAAAUUAACCCCAUGCAAUCCUCAUUCCCUCCUCUUUCUAAAUCCAUCAAUAGUUCUCCCAAAAGCCCUACCUAUUUUCUUCAAAUCCGGAUCUAAAAAACUGAAAACCCUAAAUUUCCCCCUUCUCUAGUUGUUGUCACUCCCUAGCCGCUCGUUUUGACCUAGAACCUACAUCAAUGGAUUGUUCUUGACAAGAACAAUCACUUGACGUUGGUUUUUGUUCAUUCCAAAUUCGCGAGGAAUCUGCUUUCAAUCUGUCUUUCUCUUUUGGGGUAUUCACUUGUCCUUCUUGUCUUGCUUUGUUGCUUUAAUUGUUCUAAGGAAAGUUAAAGAAAAAGAGAAGAAAAACAGUUGUUAUUUUAAUUAAGAUUUUAUGUUUAAUUACUGUUUCACUUAGUUUUUUUUUAAUUAUUGUUCUGUUUAAUACCGUUUAAUUUCCUGCUUUUGUUAAUGAACAAGUUAGCUUAUAGUUAAUUAGUAUUAAUUAGUUCAAUCAUGUUCUAAACUUUCAGCAUUCAUAAUUUUACAGUUGUUUGUCAUUCAAUAUUUGGUUUGUAUGAGUUUGGGCUUCUGUGUGUCGCUGGUUUGGACAGUAGAAGGCCAAUUUGUUUGAACCUAAACCUUUGGUCAGUUGGCCCAAUAAUUGGUAUUGUUGGAAAGUAAAUACAAGGGUAUUGGGGGGUUAAAUUGGGGCUUUUGACUUGAAGAACAUUUUCUGUUAUGACAAAAGAAGAGUCUAGAAGAUAAGGUAAGGUUUUAUUCAAAUAAAAUAAAAACAUCUCAGCUGUUUUUGGGGUCUAGAGGGGUAAAACAAAAGCUUGAAGGGUAAAAUUGAAUGAAAAAACCAGAUAUAUGGUUGCCCUAGAAUACUCAUAUAAAGGGCUCAUUUCACUCACUUUGAGAGCAGAGAAAAACAUAGAAAAAAGAAGAAAAAGACUGCAUACAUAGAAAUAGAAGUUUUCAUAAAAAACAAAGAAAAUGGUUGGAUUUCAGUUCUGAUAUCGAAUUUUUCACUUCAUUUCUUUCUGGAUUUCUGGAUUUGUCAUUUGUUGUGUAGCUGGGAUAUUGAAGCUGUUUUCCUGGUAUUUCUACCGUUUAGACUUGUUGAAUCUCUCCAUUUUUGGCCUUUUUAGCCUUUAUUUGGCAAAAUCCAGUUUUUGUUUACAAAUCUAGGUGCACCUCUCACUCUUGUACUUCUAUUUUCAAUUUGAGAUGAAAUGUUUGGUUGUUCUUUGUUUGUCUGUUGAGGUGGUGUAAAUUAUUGCUUAUCUUGUCUUGAAUCUUGAAUUAAUGUGAGCUUAAUAUGUUUAAGGAUGGAAACUUGCUUUUAGAUUUGCCUUUGAAAAAGCAACUACAGGUAACUCUAUGGCCAUAACAUUAAUUGAUUUCCCACAUUAAUUUAGACUUCAACAUGUGUAUCCUUCUAACAAAUACUCGUUGCUUAUAUUUGAACAUUAUAAAAAAUCUAAAUCUGUUUCAUAGCUUCUUGAUAAGUUGAGGUUCAGUGGAUCAUUUGCAGGUCAGUACUUGUGGAUCUAGCCACUCGUUGGUUCGAUUUGCAGUUCAAGGCAUGAGCAAAGUUACACCUCUAUCACAUUUUCGUGGUUUGGGUCUGUUAUACUUUAAAUAUUAUCUAGGAUUUGAUCAUGUGAAGCUUGGGCAUUCUAUAAUGAAGGAUGGGCGUGUGAUUUUGAGCCUAUAGUUGUGUAUUUUAUAAAUGGCAGUAUAUGUGUUUAGAUGUCCAUUCAAAAAACUUAUUUGUACAGUUAUUCACCUAUUGUAUUAAAGUUAUUGUACUAUUUAGUCUUGUCUUCUACUAAUAAUUUAGAUGUUGUAACAGCCAAGGCAAAAAAAUUAGGAGUUAGAAGCAUUAGUCAAGUCUGCUUGAUUGCUCUUUCUAAUAUAAAGUGUGUGUUUGUGUUAAAUAGCAUAGGUGUUAGUGUCCUGACUUGAUGCCAUUUUGAUAUUUCUGUAAAAAUCAAUUAUGCUCCCUCGGGAAUUGGAUCAGAGGGUUUCGUUUGAAGCCUUGCAUUUUUGGGGUUAGUGUAUGCUACUAGUUUGAAGUAGUGAAAAACAAAAGGCAUUUUUUUAACUUGAAAGGGCAGAUCUUGAGUGGUUUCAUGGAUUCGUAAAGUAAGCCUUGUAUGACGUUUAGCCCAACAACAUACGGAGUUAAUUGACUUUCAUAUCUCAUGGUUUCGCAAUAAUCUUAGAUUAAUUUUAGGAAAAUCAUGAACAUCGUAGUUUGUUUUAGAUGCGAUUUAAUCUAUCAUCGUGGUUGUCUCCAUGUUCGCGUGACAUAAUUACGAUCCUAAAAACAAAAUUGGAGUAUGCGUUCGCGCAACUUCGACCGAAAUUUCUUAAUAUUAAUAAAGUGUUAUUAAUUAUGGACACGUACGCGUGAUAUGAUUCUUGACGCGCUAAACAGAUGAGUACACGUGACUCGUUUUUUAAAGAUAACUCCAUAAUUAAGAAUAAUUAAGCAAAUAAAAGCGGUUAAGGAAGUAGAUGCAUGUAGGUAUAAAAAAUGAGUAAUUAGACAUUUUAUUAAGCCAGGUAUAUGAUUAAAGUGACCGUGCUAAAACCACGGAAUCCGGGAAUGACUAACACCUUCUCCCGAGUUAACAGAAUUCCUUACCCGGAUUUUUGUGUUUCGCUGACUGUAAAACAGAGUCAAACUUCCUCGAUUCGGGAUUUUAAACCGGUGACUUGGGACACCAUAAAUUAUCCCAAGUGGAAACUCUAAAUUUGAAUAAAUAAUCUCGUUUCGAUUACGUCACUUUAAUUGAAAAACUCUCUUAUAUCCCUUCGGGUAAAAAGGAGGUGUGACAAAUGUUAAGGGGAUUUAGGAUAGACUCCGCAUAGCCUAGUCCAGACAGAAGGGUUAUGCGAACCGGAAGGUUCGUGAUGUUUUCUAUAUGGUUGGAGAGUGGGUCAUGCUUCGAGUUUUGCCUAUGAAGGACGUGAUGAGAUUUGGGAAGAAGGGCAAAUUGAGCCCAAGGUUUAUUGGUCCCUUUGAGGUGUUGCGACGUGUUGAGGAGAUUGCUUAUGAGCUUGCCUUACCUCCCAGCUUGGUAGGAUUUCAUCCGGUAUUUCAUGUUUUGAUGCUCCAGAGGUAUCACGGUGAUCUGUCGCACGUGUUGGAUUUUAGUUCAAUCCAGCUGGACAAGGAUCUAUCUUAUGUUGAGGAGCUAGUGGCUAUAUUGGACAGGCAGGUUCGAAAGCUGAGGUCAAAGAGUAUUGCAUCAGUAAAGGUUCAGUGGCGGGGCCAGCCGGUCUAGGAGGCGACUUGGGAGACCGAGCAGGAUAUGCGCAGCCGUUACCCUCAUCUUUUCACCACUUCAGGUAUGUAUCUAUGCUCGUUCGAGGACGAACGAAUGUUUUAAGAGGAGGAGGAUGUAACGACCCGGUCGGUCAUUUUGAGAAUUUACGCCCUGAUCCCCUAUUAACUAUUUUCCGCAUGUCUAUUUAUGUUAUAGUGAUUUGUCGGGGUGGUUCAUCUUGAGUUUCAGAGUGCUUUGGGACACUUAGUCCCUAAAUGAGAGUUUAAGUCUUAAAAAUUGGAUCGUAGUCGGAACAGAGUAAAGAUGGAUUCGGAAUGGAAUUUUGUCAAUUCUGUUAGCUCCGUUAGGUGAUUUCGGGAUCAGGGGUGUGUCCAAAUUUUGUUUUGGAGGUCCGUAUCUUAUUUAGGCUUGAAAUGCCGAAAGUCGAAUUUUUUGGAGUUUUCGGGCCGAUAGUGAAAUUUUGAUAUCGGGGUCGGAAUCCAAUUUCGAAAGUUGUAAUAGAUCUGUAGUGCUAAAUAUGACUUAUUUGCAAAAUUUGGGGUCAAUCGGACAUGGUUUGGUUGGUUUCGGCAUCGGUUGUAGAAUUUUGAAAUCUUAAGUUCAUUAAGUUUGGAAUGGAGGGUGAUUCGUGAUUUUAGCGUUGUUUGAGGUGAGUUGAGGGCUCGACUAAGUUUGUAUGGUGUUUUAGGAUUGGUUGGUAUGUUUGGUUGAGGUCCGGGGGCCUCGGGUGGGUUUUGGAUGCUCAACGGAUCAUUUUUGGACUUAAGAAAAUGGCAGAUUUUGCUGGUAUUUUAUUGCAGAAAGUUUGUUCUUCGCGUUCGCGAAGAUGGUCCCGCAUUCGCGAAGAAGAGCUUGGUUAGGGGGAGAAAAUUCUCUUUGCGUUCGCGAGUCAGGGGAUGCGUUCGCAUAGGUUUGGACUCCAGUGAAUCAUGAACGUGUGAGUGGUGUCGUGUUCCCGUAGGGAAAUUGGAGCAACUGGGACCCCAGGAGUUUGCUCAUCACGUUCGCAUAGGAAGGGUCGCGUUCGCAAAGGCUCUGGCAGCUGAAGCUUUGCGUUCGCGAGAAGGAACUCACGUUCGCAAAAGAGGAAAAAGUGAGCAGUGGAGUUUUUUUCUACGCGAACGCGAGGAGGUGGACGCGUUCGUGAUGAAGGACGCAUCUGGGUAGAAUUUAAAUUCCAAAAUCGAGGGUUUGAGUUCAUAACUCAAAAAUUGGAUUAAGAGCUCGGUAAGAGGCAAAAUUUGGAGAGAUUUUCGGAGGUUGUUUGUGGGUAAUGAUUCCUAACUCCUUUUUAUUACAUCCCAUUAAUUUAAACAUGAAUUCAUCAUCUAAUUUCGGAUUUAGGGUAAAAAAAUUGGAAAAUUGAGAAAAGUUCUUAGGCCUAAUUUUGGGAUUUUGAUCGAGAUUUUGGUAUCGGAUUUAAGUGAAUUUGGUAUGGGCAGACUCGUGAGUGAAUGGGUGUUCAUAAUUUGUGACUUUUCCCCGAUUCUAAGACAUGGGCCCUGGGAAGAUUUUUUGGAAUUUUCUAUUUUCUUGCAUUAGCUUCGAUUUCAUUAGCUAAAUUAGUUGUUUAUAGAUGUAUUUACGUUAUGAUAUUGAUUUGAUUAGAUUUGGGCCACACGGAGUUGGAUACUCGUGGCAAAAGCGUGAUCUCGGAUUGAUUUGAGCUUGGUUUGAGGUACCUUUUGUGGGGGGAAACUCCCCUUAAGAUUUUGGUACUGUUGUUAUAUGAAUGUUGUGUACGUGAGGUGACGAUUGCAUACAUGUACCAAUUGUUGAAAACCCCUGUUUUCAUUAAGUAAAUAUCUAUAUUUUCUUUUAACUGAGCAACACUAGUAUAUGAAGCCUCCUGUUUAGCUUAGGAAAGCAUGCUUAUGUGACUUAACUGUCUUACCUACUUUAACUGGUUACUUGGAUUUUGUAUAGCAUGUUUAGAGUAGAAAUUUCCUAUUUUCCUGAUACGAACUUGAAUAGAAUUGUAGGAUCCUUUCUUGAGACUGUUGUAUAUUUACAUUGGGACUACGGAUCGGUAUUCCAGGAGAUCUCCCUGCAUGUUUACUUUGGGACUACGGAUCAGUAUUCUGGGAGAUCACCCCUGCACAUUUAUAAUUAGGACUACGGGACGAUAUCCCGAGAGAUCCCCCCUAUACUGGACAUUUACUUUGGGACUACGGAUCGGUAUUCUGGGAGAUUCCCCUAUACAUUUACGAUUUAGACUACGGGACGAUAUCCCGGAGAUCCUCUGCACAUUUACGUUUGUGACUACGGGACAUUAUCCUGGGAGAUCCCAUGUUGCUAUCUUUGUGUAUUGAGUUAAUUCUUUCUGUGAUUUCAUCUUUAUUGACUGUUAGCAUUUAAUUAUACUGCCUUAAUUCACAUUAUUUUACCUUGUUAUAUAUAUAACCAGUAGGGACAUGACCUGAUCUCAUCACUACUCGACCGAGGUUAGGCUUGGCACUUAUUGGGUACCGCUGUGGUAUACUCAUGCCCUUUCCUGCAUAUGUUUUUCAUGUGCAGAUCCAGGUUCUUCUUCUCGGCCAUACUAUCCGUGAGGCAAGGCGAUUCAGAGACUUCAAGGUAUAUCUGCCGUGUCCGCAGACCUAGAAGUCCCUCUCUAUUCUCCCUUCAGUUAUAGGCUUUUCCCUGUAUUUCCUUUAUUAUUAGACUUCUG
rnacentral:lncRNA from 1 species